GACGAACGCUGGCGGCGUGCUUAACACAUGCGAGUCGAACGAAGAGCGAUGGAAGCUUGCUUCUAUCAAUCUUAGUGGCGCACGGGUGAGUAACGCGUAAUCAACCUGCCCUUCAGAGGGGGACAACAGUUGGAAACGACUGCUAAUACCGCAUACGAUCUAAUCUCGGCAUCGAGGAUAGAUGAAAGGUGGCCUCUACAUGUAAGCUAUCACUGAAGGAGGGGAUUGCGUCUGAUUAGCUAGUUGGAGGGGUAACGGCCCACCAAGGCGAUGAUCAGUAGCCGGUCUGAGAGGAUGAACGGCCACAUUGGGACUGAGACACGGCCCAGACUCCUACGGGAGGCAGCAGUGGGGAAUCUUCCGCAAUGGACGAAAGUCUGACGGAGCAACGCCGCGUGAGUGAUGACGGCCUUCGGGUUGUAAAGCUCUGUUAAUCGGGACGAAAGGCCUUCUUGCGAAUAGUGAGAAGGAUUGACGGUACCGGAAUAGAAAGCCACGGCUAACUACGUG
rnacentral:rRNA from 1 species